rnacentral:lncRNA from 1 species
UAAUUUCUGUUUUAUUUUCUUUUAUUCCAUUUAUUUUCAAAAAUUCAUAACUAUUUUAUUUGGAAUCACAAAAAUAUGAGACAAACAUUAAAUUUUUUCUUGAAAAAUGUAGUUUCAUAAUCUGAUUUUUUAAUUAUUUUUGUGAUUCCAUUUAAGAUUUUUUUGUGUAUUAUUUUGUUUUUAAUAGUUUUUAAUUCAUUUUAAUUACUUUUUU